UAAACUGGGAUUAGAUACCCCACUAUGCCAAGUCGUAAACUUUAAUUUACACCCCUCCAAUCGCCUGGAAACUACGAGCUAAGCUUAAAACCCAAAGGACUUGACGGUACCCCACAUCCCCCUAGAGGAGCCUGUCCUAUAAUUGAUAACCCCCGCUAAACCUCACCAUUCUUAGCCUAUCAGCCUGUAUACUUCCGUCGUCAGCUAACCACAUGAGUGCAACUCAGUGAGCUUAAUGGCCACCCACCAAAACGUCAGGUCAAAGUGCAGCAAAUAGAAUGGGAUCAGAUGGGCUACACUUUCUAGUAUAGAAGACAACGAAAGACUAUGUGAAACCUGAGUCAGAAGGUGGAUUUAGAAGUAAAAAGAAAUCAGAGAGUUCUUUUUAACCUGGUACUGGGGUGUGUACACACCGCCCGUCACCCUCA
rnacentral:rRNA from 1 species